UACGUAGGGUCCGAGCGUUGUCCGGAAUUACUGGGCGUAAAGAGCUCGUAGGUGGUUUGUCGCGUUGUUCGUGAAAACUCACAGCUCAACUGUGGGCGUGCGGGCGAUACGGGCAGACUAGAGUACUGCAGGGGAGACUGGAAUUCCUGGUGUAGCGGUGGAAUGCGCAGAUAUCAGGAGGAACACCCGUGGCUAAGGCGGUUCUCUAGUACGGUACUGACGCUGAGACGCGAAAGCGUGGGGAGCGAACAGG
rnacentral:rRNA from 1 species